AGGGGCAGCGGUGGUGAAGGCUUGCCUUUACCUUUCGGCGACCGGCGCACGGGUGAGUAACACGUAUGCAACCUGCCUGCCACAGCCGGAUAAUCGGGAGAAAUUCCUUCUAAUACGGCAUAAUGCACCUAUGGGACAUCCUGUUGGUGCCAAAGGUUAAUUCCGGUGGCGGAUGGGCAUGCGUCGCAUUAGUUAGUUGGCGGUGUAACGGACCACCAAGACGACGAUGCGUAGGGGUUCUGAGAGGAAGGCCCCCCACACUGGUACUGAGACACGGACCAGACUCCUACGGGAGGCAGCAGUGAGGAAUAUUGGUCAAUGGGCGGGAGCCUGAACCAGCCAAGUCGCGUGAGGGAUGACGGCCCUAUGGGUUGUAAACCUCUUUUGCCUUUUUUUUAUAGCGCCCCACGUGUGCGGUUUGGAGAGUACCCGGAGAAAAAGCAUCGGCUAACUCCGUGCCAGCAGCCGCGGUAAUACGGAGGAUGCGAGCGUUAUCCGGAUUUAUUGGGUUUAAAGGGUGCGUAAGCGGACGCUUA
rnacentral:rRNA from 1 species